CAAGAUGUUUCUGGAAGAAGCACAGAGCCUAUACAGCAUUUCUUACCUGUAGGAGCAUUUUGGGAGGAGGGGUUCAGACACUUCGUAAUACUGAGAAUGCAUCUUCUUUGAACUAUGUGCAAUGAAACAGAAAUCUUCCUUCUCGUUGAACACAGAACUAGAUUUGUAGCCUGGCAAUUGAGAGAAGUCUGGCACACGGUGGUUUCAGUGGUUACUGUGAGUCUCACAGUAGUCUGCUUUCAGAACCUUGGAGAAGCCAUGGAGGAACAGUAAGUUCCAAUAGAUAAAAGAAAAAACUGUGACACUUUUCCUGACACUGUGAUAAGAAUACAGUUGAGAUCCACAAAGCUCAGUGAGCUGGAGAGCUGACAGGUUUGAACUGAAGAUCUUUGAGCACACAGCUACUGAGCACUGCCACCAGAGACCAAGGAAGCUGCAGCCCUGCAUGGGACUCCACCAGAGAGGGUGAAAGGAUCAUGCAAAGAAAAUGGACCAAACCACAUGACCUCCAGGUACCAAGAGUGAUGCUCCAUGUUCCCAACAGUUCCCAAAGUGAGCGCACCCAAAACUACAAAGAGGCCUAGAGCAGAAUGAGCCCCCAAACCAAUGAAACAAGUAAAAGGUAACCACCAGAGGACAACUUACAGUACAUCCUGCAAGGAAGAGCACCCCUCCUUGUGAUGGUUCUAUUCCAACUAUCUGAGCAGAGGGCAGGAGCGGAAGAAGGAACAACGUAACAAAAAGGGUUCAGCUCAGCAAAGAAGCAAGACUUAAAAUAAACUGACCCUGCUAAAACACAGCCCUCAUAUGACAGAGUAUAACUCAGUAGGUUGGGA
rnacentral:lncRNA from 1 species